rnacentral:rRNA from 1 species
ACGCUCGACACCUACGGGGGGCAGCAGUAGGGAAUCUUCCACAAUGGGCGCAAGCCUGAUGGAGCAACACCGCGUGAGUGAAGAAGGGUUUCGGCUCGUAAAGCUCUGUUGUUGGAGAAGAACGUGCGUGAGAGUAACUGUUCACGCAGUGACGGUAUCCAACCAGAAAGUCACGGCUAACUACGUGCCGCAGCCGCGGUAAGUACUGAGCGGGCGUGGCGAAGGAC